GGCUUGUUAGCUCAAUUGGUAGAGCGCUGCACUAAUAUCGCAGAGGUCAGUGGUUCGAAUCCCGUACAGGCCU
rnacentral:tRNA from 1 species